rnacentral:misc_RNA from 1 species
CAGCCUACGAAGGGGGCAGCAGUGGGGGUACACCCCGGACAAUGGGGGAAACCUGAUCCAGCCAUCCCGCGUGUGCGGUCGAGCCUUCGGGUUGUAAAGCACUUUGGCAGGAAAGAAACAGCUGCAGGAUAAUACGUGCAACUGACGGUACCUGCAGAAUAAGCACCGGUAACACGUGCCAGCAGCCGCGGUAAUACGCCGAUUUUAAGCGUUAAUCGGAAUUACUGGGCGUAAAGCGUGCGCGAGCGGUUCGGAAGAAGAUGUGAAAUCCCAGAGCUUAACCUGGAACUGCAUUUUUAACUACCGAGCUAGAGUGUCAGAGGGAGGUGGAAUUCCGCGUGUAGCAGUGAAAUGCGUAGAUAUGCGGAGGAACACCGAUGGCGAAGGCAGCCUCCUGGGAUAACACUGACGGCGCUCAUGCACAGCGUGGGAGUAAACAAGGUUAGAUACCCUCGUAG